AGCGGCGGGAGGGCGCGGGGGGUGGGACCCGGGGGCACCGCCUUCCCACCCGGACCGCGCCUGCGCCCCGCCCUCCUCGGCCCCGCUCCCUGCGCGCGCGGGACGUGGGCGCUGCUCCCUCCGUGGCUUCCGGCGAAACGCGGCCCCCGAGGCCCUGGAGCUGCCCCAGGACCGGUGAGAACUGUUAAGAGUGCUUCUUUCAGGUCACGGCUCUCAACCUGCUAACAACACCCAAGUAGAUCUACAGCAGUCAUGUUUCAGCCCAAGAGUGAAGUAAAGGCGGUGUCUCUCAUUGAGAUGAAUAGCACCAGGAUCCCAGAUGCUGAUGUCAAAGACAAGUUCAGCAGAUGUGCUGUCACUGACAUGAUGCCAUUCCCUGAUCUCAAAACAAGGAACAAAAUCCCUCUGAAUUCUCACCAGAUGUGCCUGUGAACCUGUACAGCUGAUGGGUGAAAGCCAUUCAGCUGCUCCAGGCAAGGACAGCAGUAAGUAACAGCUGUGUCUGUGCUGGCGUCACGGGUAUAAUGCCUGGGUCACAGGGGUGAGAACUGAUUCUGCUG